GGAGGAAGGCAGGUGGGAGUGCUGAGUAACAGUGAAAGCACAUACGAUGCCAGUCUUUUCCGUAUAUUGGGACUGUAAUGUGUAGAUACAGGAUUCCUGAUUCUCCUUCCGUGCUUAUGGAAGUCAGGACAAAUUGAUUUUGAGCUCCAUGGGAUUACUUGCUGCUCUGCACAUAAUGGAUGUACGCAGAGUGAUUCUGGGAGAGUUCUGUAGUAGAUGAGUGAAGAAAUUGCUGGUGCAGGACUGCUGAAUUCCAGAGAGUGUUAUUUGUUGCUAUACUGAUAUUGCAGCAAUGACAAUGAGGAGGAGAUUGGAUGGGAAGAAGUCUUGGUGUCUUCCUACCUGAAUUUCUAGUACAGAGGAGUCUCUUAAAGAGGUCAUCCUGUAAUUGUCUGCUUCCCAGUUCCUUUCACCUAUUGGAUUUCACAACUAUUGGAUGUGCUAGAAGCCAGGAGAGGCUCUCCUGACAACUUUUCAGCUUUUGCUGUGCCAAACAGGGUAGUGAAGUGAGCUAGCUUUCUUCACUAACUAGGAAGAAGUCAAGAAGUCUCAGGUUGAGUGCAUGAGUGCAUCUUUCCCCAGGACACUUGUUUACAGGUGCAGUACUGUACGUGUUGGGUUGACCUGUCCCAAGGGUGGGCUGUAAACCAUGCUGCCUUGUUUUCUGCCUGGCGGGUGUGCUCACUGGGCUAAUGAUGCAGGAGGAGAAAGGGACCACUAGAGAGCAUGUAGGGAAAGUCUGCUCCUGACCAUUAGUAUCUAGCUCCCUGAUGAUGUCAUUUUGCACAUAGCAGGAGGGACUAUCAUAUUAAAAAAAAGUCUGAAAAAUGUAAGAAAAAGGGAGAGAUAACAAAACUUGUUCUGAAACAUAAUGAAACAGCAAAUACGUUUGUGCAUAUCUUCAAGGAUUUGCUAAUGCUGUCUUGUAUGCUCAUUUCUCCUGUAUUAUUCUGUCUCACCUAUGCUGUUUGGGUGAUGACACAAGAGCUUGUCAGAGCAGGGGAUCAUGCAGCUUUUGGGAAGGUCCAUCAAAACCUCAUCCCUCCAAUAGACCACGGUUUGGAAGACACAGAUAUACAGAAUAGCAUACAGACAAAGAGAAUAAUGGCUGUGUGCCUUCAUUUUUAUCUUUGAGAUAAAUAAAACAUUUAUGGUGUAAUAUUUAUAGGCUU